rnacentral:lncRNA from 1 species
AGGAGAGAGAGAGAGGAGGAAGGAAAGCAUGGCGAGGGGCUCGGGGUCGACCCAGGUAGUCGUCGGCGGCGGCCUCGGGCUGCUCUGGCAAGGGGCUAGGGUUGAGCGGCGGGGCUCCUCUACGGGGCUGCGCUCGGGAGGUGCAGGAGGGGCAUGGCGCUGCGGAUGGAGGAGCUGCUGGUUUCGGGCGCGAGCUCCUGGGGCGGACCAAAGGAGCUGAUGGGGAGUGCUGGUGGCUGCGCGGGGCUGCCCUGGAUCGAACAGGAGGAAGGAGGAGGCUGCAGCUGGUUGGCCAGAUGGGAAAUGAGGGGGGGGGGGG